GAAUUGCUUAAAAAUCCCUAAUACAUGCCAAUUUAAAUAGUGUGUUGUUCAAUUAUUGUCAGGACCUGCCACUCCUGACUCAGUUCUGACUGUCACUAAUCACCUGAUUGCCUUCACCUGCGCUCUCCCCUUUAUAUUGCUCUGCUCUCCACCUGCCCUCUGCCAGAACGUUGUCAGUUCUCUGCUCUGCUCUGCUCUGCUCUGCUCUGCUCUGCUCUGCUCUGCUCUGCUCUGCUCUGCUCUGCUCUGCUCAACCUUCAAGUUUGCCUGCCUACCAAGCUCUGCCCAGCUCAGCUCUGCUCAACCUUCAAAUUUGCCUGCCUGCCCUGCUCUGCUCAGCUCAGUUCUGCUCAACCUUCAAAUUUGCCUGCCUGCCCUGCUCUGCUCAGCUCCGUUCUGCUCAACCUUCAAAUUGGCCUGUCAGCCCAGCUCUGCCUCCAAACCAGCCAGGCCUGCCCUGCCCCGUCCAAACUGUCUGCUUUGCCUGGAUCCUGCUGCCCUGCGUUAUCUGCCCAGCCUGAGAUAUCCGCUCCGUGCUGCCUUUCCCCAUGUGAAGACUAAAGACCUGUUCCUGUUCCGCCAUCCUGACAAUAAACCUGUUAUCUCUACA